rnacentral:rRNA from 1 species
UACGUAGGGGGCAAGCGUUGUCCGGAUUUAUUGGGCGUAAAGAGCGUGUAGGCGGCUUUACAGGUCCGUUGUGAAAACCCGGGGCUUAACCCCUGGCUUGCAGUGGAUACGGACAGACUAGAGGUAGGUAGGGGAGAAUGGAAUUCCCGGUGUAGCGGUGAAAUGCGCAGAUAUCGGGAGGAACACCGGUGGCGAAGGCGGUUCUCUGGGCCUUACCUGACGCUGAGGCACGAAGGUCAGGGGAGCAAACGGG